rnacentral:rRNA from 1 species
UACCGAGGGUGCGAGCGUUAAUCGGAAUUACUGGGCGUAAAGCGCGCGUAGGCGGCUUUGCAAGCCGGAUGUGAAAUCCCCGGGCUUAACCUGGGAACUGCAUUCGGGACUGCAUUGCUAGAGUAUGGGAGAGGGAAGUGGAAUUUCAGGUGUAGCGGUGAAAUGCGUAGAUAUCUGAAGGAACAUCAGUGGCGAAAGCGGCUUCCUGGACCAAUACCGACGCUCAUGUGCGAAAGCGUGGGGAGCAAACAGG